AAAAAAAAACCCAAAACACAAAAGAAUAAAAAAACCGAAACCCGACAACUGUUUAUAUGCACGCGCUGACAGUUACUAGCAUCGAACCCUUUUGUCAGCUUCCAGGAAAUAAUACAGAGCUACGUGGCAUUACUCUUUAUCCAGACCAGGAUUCGUGCAUAGCCUAGCUCCUCUGUUCAUCAGGAAGUACCAGAAACUGUGUGUAGGACGGAUUGACUUCAGUGUACAUGACAAAUUGCAGUCUGUCAGGACACGAGCAAAGGAUGGGAACAUCUCUCACUGGACUGUGAGUUCAUCCUUUUAGCGUGACUGCAAAGGCGUGGACCUGUCUAUGGAUUCGAUUCCUCCAUCACUAUCCUAUCUAGAAAAGCUACCAAAAAUAAAUAAGGAUUUGCAAGCGACACAGAUUCUGAAGUGUUCAGUGCUCCAGUGACUGGAUAACUUUUAUAAGACUUAUUAUCAUUUCUGUAGUAUUUCGAAACAAAAGACAUCCUCUUGAUAGAGCUGAGGAAAAACUUCACUGUCUUGCCCAAGCUCUUUUUUUUUUUUUCUUUUUCUUUCCCUUCCUACGUGACGACAGCAAAUCCAGUUGAACAAAUACUUGGUGUUGAAGAAAAAGGAAUCAAAAUAAAUUUUGAUCACUCAAAGUAUUUUUGUUGGGGGGGGUGGUGAGGGAGGUCAAAGUCUGUAUUUGCUGGAAUUGUUUUAAAAAAUUGAUGUGCACACACCUUAUUAUUGGUUCUUCUCACUGCCGCAGAAUAAACACUUCUGAUGGUGUAUUA